AACGCUAGCUACAGGCUUAACACAUGCAAGCCGAGGGGCAGCAUGGUUGUAGCAAUACAACCGAUGGCGACCGGCGCACGGGUGAGUAACACGUAUCCAACCUGUCCUUUACUCGGGGAUAGCCUUUCGAAAGAAAGAUUAAUACCCGAUGGCAUUAGGUUUCCGCAUGGAGACCUUCUUAAAGAUUUAUCGGUAAAGGAUGGGGAUGCGUUCCAUUAGGCAGUUGGCGGGGUAACGGCCCACCAAACCGACGAUGGAUAGGGGUUCUGAGAGGAAGGUCCCCCACAUUGGAACUGAGACACGGUCCAAACUCCUACGGGAGGCAGCAGUGAGGAAUAUUGGUCAAUGGACGGAAGUCUGAACCAGCCAAGUAGCGUGAAGGAAGACUGCCCUAUGGGUUUUAAACUUCUUUUAUAAGGGAAUAAAGUCGUCCACGUGUGGAUGUUUGUAUGUACCUUAUGAAUAAGCAUCGGCUAACUCCGUGCCAGCAGCCGCGGUAAUACGGAGGAUGCGAGCGUUAUCCGGAUUUAUUGGGUUUAAAGGGUGCGUAGGCCGUGUUUUAAGUCAGCGGUGAAAAGUUGCAGCUCAACUGUAACCGUGCCGUUAUACUGAGACACUUGAGUGUAGACAAGGCAGGCGGAACUCGUAGUGUAGCGGUGAAAUGCUUAGAUAUCACGAAGAACUCCGAUUG
rnacentral:rRNA from 1 species